rnacentral:rRNA from 1 species
GACGAACGCUGGCGGCGUGCCUAACACAUGCAAGUCGAACGGGGGGAACAUGAAGUAUUUCGGUACGGAAUGCGCCCCUAGUGGCGAACGGGUGAGUAACACGUGGGCAACCUGCCCCAGACUGGGGGAUAACAUUGUGAAAACAGUGCUAAUACCGCAUGACAGGGUUCCGGGCAUCCGGGACCCUUGAAAGGAGAAAUCCGGUCAGGGAUGGGCCCGCGUCCAAUUAGCUAGUUGGCGGGGUAACGGCCCACCAAGGCGACGAUUGGUAGCCGAACUGAGAGGUUGAUCGGCCACAUUGGGACUGAGACACGGCCCAGACUCCUACGGGAGGCAGCAGUGGGGAAUAUUGGGCAAUGGGCGAAAGCCUGACCCAGCGACGCCGCGUGAAGGAUGAAGGUCUUCGGAUUGUAAACUUCUUUGAUCAGGGAAGAAAGAAAUGACGGUACCUGAAAACAAGCCACGGCUAACUACGUG